GGGUGAUUAGCUCAGCGGUAGAGCAUCUCGUUUACACCGAGGGGGUCGGCGGUUCAAACCUGUCAUCACCCACCA
rnacentral:tRNA from 1 species